AUUGAACGCUGGCGGCAUGCUUUACACAUGCAAGUCGAACGGCAGCGCGGGCUUCGGCCUGGCGGCGAGUGGCGAAUGGGUGAGUAAUGCAUCGGAACGUGCCCAGUAGUGGGGGAUAGCCCGGCGAAAGCCGGAUUAAUACCGCAUACGACCUGAGGGUGAAAGCGGGGGACCGAAAGGCCUCGCGCUAUUGGAGCGGCCGAUGUCGGGUUAGCUAGUUGGUGGGGUAAAGGCUUACCAAGGCGACGAUCCGUAGCUGGUCUGAGAGGACGACCAGCCACACUGGGACUGAGACACGGCCCAGACUCCUACGGGAGGCAGCAGUGGGGAAUUUUGGACAAUGGGGGCAACCCUGAUCCAGCCAUGCCGCGUGCGGGAAGAAGGCCUUCGGGUUGUAAACCGCUUUUGUUCGGGAAGAAAUCCUCUGGGCUAAUACCCCGGGGGGAUGACGGUACCGGAAGAAUAAGCACCGGCUAACUACGUG
rnacentral:rRNA from 1 species